AGCAUCCCUUGGAGUACCCUGCUCAGAGACUGGCACAAAGGGAGUGGGUAUCGUUGUUGAACAGGAAAAAAUAAGAUCCUGUUGGAGCUUCGGCCCUGAUGACUUAUGCAUCUGGAACGUUCCAUGGGAUGGAGAACGACCGGGCAGGGUGGACUGCUGAGGACACAGAGCUGACCCAACAGACACCUGAUCUGACGGGAGCAAGUCCUACAGAACCCGCGCUGGAGAGAUUUUGGCGAUCACCCAGCCGCAGUUCACCACCCUGGCUGCACCUAGAUGCACCUGGGAGCUUAAAAAAAUAUUCGUUUCUGGAUUCCAUCCCUGGGGGUUUAAUUCAAGUGGUCUGGGGUAGAACUCCUUCUGAAGUUCUAUGAGAAAGAAGAGCUAAAUGUCACCCAUGACUGCAGACGUCCCUGGGGCCUCAAAGUCAGUGCAAGAGAUGAAACAGCACCUGCAGGCU